GAACUGAGAGUGUAGUAUUUGAUGCACAUGGUUCUGUGGAGCACAAUGAAUAUAUGGAGGGUAGAGUCUUGAUAAAGACAUAACAUUUUUUCUUCAAUCCAGAUAUUUACUAUCUUCUAGGUGAAGCAUAAUUAUCCAGAACAUUGCUGCCAUGAGUACGGCACCAAAUAAGAAGGCUCGAGAAAUAUGUUGGUCAUUCCGAGACAAAUUAUUUGAAUGUCUGGACAAAAAUAAUGAGGAUCUUUCAAAGUGCUCAGAAGAAAUCAAAGGAGUUGAAAACAACUGUUCCAAGUUGUGGUCCAAGUAUUUUCUGAAGAGAAGAAAUUACCUGCAAUUUAGGGAAAAGGUUGAAAAAGAGGGAUUUCAGUACACAGAGAAUGAAGGAAAAUAAGUUAUUUAAAUGGUACAUUUGAAGUGACUUUAUUUCCAAACUUCAAACAAAUAUGUACAACAUAUUGUUGCAAGUAUUUUUAGUUGUGUGUAAUAUUUUUCUAUAAUGUUUGAAUAAAAAACCUCUUCAAUUCCGAG